GAUGAACGCUGGCGGCGUGCUUAACACAUGCAAGUCGAACGGGAAACCUUUUAUUGAAGCUUCGGCAGAUUUAGCUGGUUUCUAGUGGCGGACGGGUGAGUAACGCGUGGGUAACCUGCCUUAUACGGGGGGAUAACAGUCAGAAAUGGCUGCUAAUACCGCAUAAGCGCACAGAGCUGCAUGGCUCAGUGUGAAAAGCUCCGGUGGUAUAAGAUGGACCCGCGUUGGAUUAGCUGGUUGGUGGGGUAACGGCCCACCAAGGCGACGAUCCAUAGCCGGCCUGAGAGGGUGAACGGCCACAUUGGGACUGAGACACGGCCCAGACUCCUACGGGAGGCAGCAGUGGGGAAUAUUGCACAAUGGGGGAAACCCUGAUGCAGCGACGCCGCGUGAAGGAAGAAGUAUCUCGGUAUGUAAACUUCUAUCAGCAGGGAAGAUAAUGACGGUACCUGACUAAGAAGCCCCGGCUAACUACGUG
rnacentral:rRNA from 1 species